GAUGAACGCUGGCGGCGUGCCUAAUACAUGCAAGUCGAGCGAACAGAUGAGGAGCUUGCUCCUCUGACGUUAGCGGCGGACGGGUGAGUAACACGUGGAUAACCUACCUAUAAGACUGGGAUAACUUCGGGAAACCGGAGCUAAUACCGGAUAAUAUAUUGAACCGCAUGGUUCAAUAGUGAAAGACGGUUUUGCUGUCACUUAUAGAUGGAUCCGCGCCGCAUUAGCUAGUUGGUAAGGUAACGGCUUACCAAGGCAACGAUGCGUAGCCGACCUGAGAGGGUGAUCGGCAACACUGGAACUGAAACACGGUCCGGACUCCUACGGAGGGCAGCAGAAGGAAAUCUUCCGCAAGGGGCGAAAGCCUGAGGGAGCAACGCCGCGUGAGUGAUAAAGGUCUUCGGAUCGUAAACCGCUGUUAUUAGGGAAAAACAAAUGUGUAGGUAACUAUGCACGUCUGGACGGUACCAAAUCAGAAAGCCACGGCUAACUACGU
rnacentral:rRNA from 1 species